UGGGGAAUUUUCCGCAAUGGGCGAAAGCCUGACGGAGCAAUACCGCGUGAGGGAGGAAGGCUUUUGGGUUGUAAACCUCUUUUCUCAAGGAAGAAGAUCUGACGGUACUUGAGGAAUCAGCAUCGGCUAACUCCGUGCCAGCAGCCGCGGUAAUACGGAGGAUGCAAGCGUUGUCCGGAUUUAUUGGGUUUAAAGGGUGCGUAGGCGGUUUAUUAAGUCAGUGGUGAAAGCCCACAGCUCAACUGUGGAAUUGCCAAUGAAACUGGUAGACUUGAGUACAGUCGAGGUAGGCGGAAUUUAUGGUGUAGCGGUGAAAUGCAUAGAUACCAUAAAGAACCCCGAUAGCGAAGGCAGCUUACUAGAGUGUAACUGACGCUGAGGCACGAAAGCGUGGGGAGCGAACAGGAUUAGAUACCCGCGUAGUCC
rnacentral:rRNA from 1 species